GGCAAUUUACCAAUUCAUGGAAUUCAUUCAGUUGCUUCUGUCCUUUCCUUUUCAAGUAGCUGUGUCCCUAUCUGCCUCCUACAGGCAGUACCUGGACAGGUCAGCCUGUGUGUCUGCAGAACUCUCUACUGCUGGGGGACCCUGUCCAGGAUCACUGGAUCGAUGUUACUGGAAGUGAAGGUAGAAUCAUCAGAGGAAGAGAGGGCGUGAUUGGCAGCUGGGAGGGAGCAGCCAUCAGAGCUAUGCCUCUCUCAUGGAGCACCUGGAGAAAAGCAGAUUCUAGCUUUUCCAGCCCAUGAACAAGAAGAUGUCCCAAGUGGAAUGGUUUCUUGAUGAGGAAGCCUUCCCAAAAUUUCCUAUGUGGAAACCUUCCCAAUUUGCAGUUGUUGAGUGACAUCGACAUGAUUGUCAAUGAUGAUGAUGAAGAUUACAAUGAUGGUGG
rnacentral:lncRNA from 1 species